GACGAACGCUGGCGGCGUGCUUAACACAUGCAAGUCGAACGGAAAGGCCCUGCUUUUGUGGGGCGCUCGAGUGGCGAACGGGUGAGUAACACGUGAGUAACCUGCCCUUGACUUUGGGAUAACUUCAGGAAACUGGGGCUAAUAUCGGAUAGGAGCUCCUGCUGCACGGUGGGGGUUGGAAAGUUUCGGCGGCUGGGGAUGGUCUCGCGGCUUAUCCGCUGGUUGGUGGAGUAGUUGCUGACCAAGGGUUUGACGGGUAGCCGGCCUGAGAGGGGGACCGGCCACCAUGGUACUACGAGAGGGACCAGAAGCCUACCGGACGCAGCAGGGGGGAGUAUGGCGCAAUGGGCGGAAGCGUGAUGCGGCAACGCCGGGUGCGUGAUGACGGCCUUCGGGUUGUAAACCGCUUUCGCCUGUGACGAAGAGGGAGUGACGGUAAUGGGUAAAGAAGCACCGGCUAACUACGUG
rnacentral:rRNA from 1 species